UACGAAGGGGGCUAGCGUUGCUCGGAAUCACUGGGCGUAAAGGGUGCGUAGGCGGGUCUUUAAGUCAGGGGUGAAAUCCUGGAGCUCAACUCCAGAACUGCCUCCGAUACUGGAGAGCUCGAGUCCGGGAGAGGUGAGUGGAACUGCGAGUGUAGAGGUGAAAUUCGUAGAUAUUCGCAAGAACACCAGUGGCGAAGGCGGCUCACUGGCCCGGUACUGACGCUGAGGUGCGAAAGCGUGGGGAGCAAACAGG
rnacentral:rRNA from 1 species